rnacentral:rRNA from 1 species
GACGAACGCUGGCGGCGUGCUUAACACAUGCAAGUCGAACGGAAAGGCCCUUCUUUUGUGGGGUGCUCGAGUGGCGAACGGGUGAUUAACACGUGAGUAACCUGCCCUUGACUUUGGGAUAACCUCAGGAAACUUGGUCUAAUACCGGAUAGGAGCUCCUGCUGCAUGGUGGAGGUUGGAAAGUUUCGGCGGUUGGGGAUGGACUCGCGGCUUAUCAGCUUGUUGGUGGGGUAGUGGCUUACCAAGGCUUUGACGGGUAGCCGGCCUGAGAGGGUGACCGGCCACAUUGGGACUGAGAUACGGCCCAGACUCCUACGGGAGGCAGCAGUGGGGAAUAUUGCACAAUGGGCGGAAGCCUGAUGCAGCAACGCCGCGUGCGGGAUGACGGCCCUCGGGUUGUAAACCGCUUUCGCCUGUGACGAAGCGUGAGUGACGGUAAUGGGUAAAGAAGCACCGGCUAACUACGUG